ACUGACGAAUAGAAAACUUUAAAUAGUUGUUACUGUCUUAAGCAUGCAUAGGAGUUUCACAUGGCUAGAUGCAAUGAACCUGGAGAUUUUCCCAAGAUUGCUUGCCAAAUGUUUCUGGAAACAGCAUGGUCGUUUCCACUUGGAACAACUCACUGUUGGAUGCUUAUAUUUCUUCCGCUGUCAACUUCAGUAACUUGGUCAGAAUGACGCCAGCUCUAGUCACAAAAUGAGCCUUUCAAUCAUAGAGAGACUGAAAGACUGAGACUGCAUUUAUUUCAGAAAGUGAUUGGUGCAGAGGUAUGAUGAUAUAUUUUCAGUGUGUCUAUCAAGAAGGUGGUGUUGAAAUAUCUGUGGCAAUAUUGGCAAGGAGUCAGUCUCUUGCUAUUUCACAAUGGCCUUAAUCCUAGUGAUGGCAAUUUCUUCUUGCAACAAAGAAAGACAGUGACACCAAAGGAGAAAUAUUCAAAGUGGGAUGAAAGGGGUUGACAUUAGAAAAGACUUCAUGGUGAUUGGAAAAAAAUGGAAAAAGAUUUUGAAAGCACUCCAUCACAGGGCACACUACAAUCACAAACUUCAUGCCUUACACAGUUUCCUUUCCUGUCAUACUAACUGUGCUUCUUCAACAUCUCCUGGGAACCAGAAGAAAGAGCAAGGUUUCCAAACACCAAUAGGUGAAUUCAAGCAACCCACAUCUAGAUGGAGCACCACUCAAUAAUGCUCAAAAGCCAGAUGAGAGACAACGUGCAAUUGCCUUAUCCCAAAUGGUUAACAGCUGUGUUCAAAUACUCCACCAAGGAGUUUGGCCAAGCAUGCAGCAAGAAACAGAUGGAAUAGAGUGCCUCAGUCAGUGCAGUAGAAAAGCCAUAGGAUUAAAAGGUCAGAAUUUUGGACACAACUCUGCCAGCAACUAACGUUGGCCUGGGCAAAUUUCUCAGGUUCUCCCUCUGUAGAAUGAAGACAUUGAAUAAGACUAAACAGGUGCGUUCUCUGUCAGGCUAAACUCCAAAGAAACUUAAUUCAAUUAUUUUUUCCCCAAAACCUCAAUUCCCUUGCCUCCCUUUUUCCCCCAUGCCUACCUGGCAAAGGCCCAACCCUCAAUCAUGCCAACUAUUUCUAAUCUCUGAACUACCAACUCCUGGACAACUGAGAACCACAGGAGAAAGUGGCACCACUGAGGUCAGUGCCUCACCAGAUCCCUAGCCAGCAGCCCACCCUCACUCAGCAAAGGCCCUGUCCUCAGUUUAGAGAAGUCAGGGAACUCCCUCAAGUCCCUCCUGGUUUGCUCUGCUGGCUCACUCCCAAUGCAUUAAUUGUUUUCCUCUUCCUGUCUCAGCAGAAAAGGAUCUUGCCCUAGAUGAUGCUUCAUUAUCAUUGCUCUACGAGAUAACUUUCUUCUCUUCUAUUUUAUCGGAAGAUUCCCUCAGCAUGAUAUAUUUAUAUCAUCUAUUUUUAAGAAAAAAAAAAAAAAAAAAAAAAAAAACAACCCUCUCUUAUCUGCCCUUUCCUGCUGUUUCCUUUCUUAAGACUUAAGCUCUCUGAAAGAGUAGUCUGUAUUUAUCAUUUCCACUUUCUUAUUUUAAUUCUCUCUUCCACUCACUUCUAUCUGUUUUCUGCUACCAACACCCCAGCGAGCACCUCCUAAGGUCAUCACCUGUCUUAUUGUUAAAUCUAGUCGGCACUUUCUAGCCCACAGGCCUAAUAGCACUUUGCACUAAAAUGUGUGCUCUGAAAUGACCUUUCUCUUGGCUUUUAUGAUCUCUGUCUCCCCUUCUGCUCUCUCCCCUCCAUCCU